UCGAGAGGCUUCCGCAAUGGGGGAAACCCUGACGGAGCGACGCCGCGUGGGUGAGGAAGGUCUUCGGAUCGUAAAACCCUGUCAGGAGGGACGAAAACCGGAUUGGUUAAUACCCUUUCCGCUUGACGGUACCUCCAGAGGAAGCUCCGGCUAACUCCGUGCCAGCAGCCGCGGUAACACGGAGGGAGCAAACGUUGUUCGGAAUUACUGGGCGUAAAGGGCGUGUAGGCUGUUCUCUAAGUCGGGGGUGAAAUCCAGUGGCUCAACCAUUGGCCUGCCUUCGAAACUGGGGAACUUGAGGCCGUGAGAGGAAAGCGGAAUUCCUGGUGUAUCGGUGAAAUGAGUUGAUAUCAGGAGGAACAUCAGUGGCGAAGGCGGCUUUCUGGCGCGGUUCUGACGCUGAGGCGCGAAAGCAUGGGGAGCAAACGGG
rnacentral:rRNA from 1 species